CCUACGGGUGGCAGCAGUGAGGAAUAUUGGUCAAUGGGCGGAAGACUGAACCAGCCAAGUAGCGUGCGGGAUGAAGGCCCUACGGGUCGUAAACCGCUUUUACGCGGGGAUAACACGCUCCACGUGUGGAGGUCUGCAGGUACCGUACGAAUAAGGACCGGCUAAUUCCGUGCCAGCAGCCGCGGUAAUACGGAAGUCCCGAGCUUUAUCCGGAUUCAUUGGGCUAAAAGGGAGCGUAGGCGGGUGUUCAAGUCAGCGUUAAAAUCGCGGGGCUAAACCUGGCCCCGCGGUUGAAACUGGGUUGCUUGAGUUCACAAAAGGCAUGCGGAAUUCGUGGUGUAGCGGUGAAAUGCAUAGAUAUCACGAGGAACUCCGAUUGCGAAGGCAGCAUGCCGCGGUGCUACUGACGCUGAGGCUCGAAGGUGCGGGUAUCAAACAGGAUUAGAUACCCUUGUAGUC
rnacentral:rRNA from 1 species